rnacentral:rRNA from 15 species
AGAGUUUGAUCAUGGCUCAGAUUGAACGCUGGCGGCAGGCCUAACACAUGCAAGUCGAGCGGUAGCACAGAGAGCUUGCUCUCGGGUGACGAGCGGCGGACGGGUGAGUAAUGUCUGGGAAACUGCCUGAUGGAGGGGGAUAACUACUGGAAACGGUAGCUAAUACCGCAUAACGUCGCAAGACCAAAGUGGGGGACCUUCGGGCCUCAUGCCAUCAGAUGUGCCCAGAUGGGAUUAGCUAGUAGGUGGGGUAACGGCUCACCUAGGCGACGAUCCCUAGCUGGUCUGAGAGGAUGACCAGCCACACUGGAACUGAGACACGGUCCAGACUCCUACGGGAGGCAGCAGUGGGGAAUAUUGCACAAUGGGCGCAAGCCUGAUGCAGCCAUGCCGCGUGUGUGAAGAAGGCCUUCGGGUUGUAAAGCACUUUCAGCGGGGAGGAAGGCGGUGAGGUUAAUAACCUCAUCGAUUGACGUUACCCGCAGAAGAAGCACCGGCUAACUCCGUGCCAGCAGCCGCGGUAAUACGGAGGGUGCAAGCGUUAAUCGGAAUUACUGGGCGUAAAGCGCACGCAGGCGGUCUGUCAAGUCGGAUGUGAAAUCCCCGGGCUCAACCUGGGAACUGCAUUCGAAACUGGCAGGCUAGAGUCUUGUAGAGGGGGGUAGAAUUCCAGGUGUAGCGGUGAAAUGCGUAGAGAUCUGGAGGAAUACCGGUGGCGAAGGCGGCCCCCUGGACAAAGACUGACGCUCAGGUGCGAAAGCGUGGGGAGCAAACAGGAUUAGAUACCCUGGUAGUCCACGCCGUAAACGAUGUCGAUUUGGAGGUUGUGCCCUUGAGGCGUGGCUUCCGGAGCUAACGCGUUAAAUCGACCGCCUGGGGAGUACGGCCGCAAGGUUAAAACUCAAAUGAAUUGACGGGGGCCCGCACAAGCGGUGGAGCAUGUGGUUUAAUUCGAUGCAACGCGAAGAACCUUACCUGGUCUUGACAUCCACAGAACUUAGCAGAGAUGCUUUGGUGCCUUCGGGAACUGUGAGACAGGUGCUGCAUGGCUGUCGUCAGCUCGUGUUGUGAAAUGUUGGGUUAAGUCCCGCAACGAGCGCAACCCUUAUCCUUUGUUGCCAGCGGUUAGGCCGGGAACUCAAAGGAGACUGCCAGUGAUAAACUGGAGGAAGGUGGGGAUGACGUCAAGUCAUCAUGGCCCUUACGACCAGGGCUACACACGUGCUACAAUGGCAUAUACAAAGAGAAGCGACCUCGCGAGAGCAAGCGGACCUCAUAAAGUAUGUCGUAGUCCGGAUUGGAGUCUGCAACUCGACUCCAUGAAGUCGGAAUCGCUAGUAAUCGUAGAUCAGAAUGCUACGGUGAAUACGUUCCCGGGCCUUGUACACACCGCCCGUCACACCAUGGGAGUGGGUUGCAAAAGAAGUAGGUAGCUUAACCUUCGGGAGGGCGCUUACCACUUUGUGAUUCAUGACUGGGGUGAAGUCGUAACAAGGUAACCGUAGGGGAACCUGCGGUUGGAUCACCU